ensembl:lncRNA
GUGUCUGUGUUAGCUGUGCUUGUGCUAGCACGUCCACGCAUUGUGGUGACUGUGUUCAGGUGUCUGUGUUAGCUGUGCUUGUGCUAGCACGUCCACUCAUUGUGGUGACUGUGUUCAGGUGUCUGUGAACAGUGUCCAUAAACGUCUUUCAUUCCCCCAUAGUUUAUUCACCACCUCCGGAGUCCCUCACCAGCGCAAAUGACGAGGACACAAAAAACUCAAAGUGAGUGUGACUUUCAUUGGCAUAGGUCUGUAUGUGUCUGUGUAUGUAUGCCCCUCAUGAAGGACAUGUCAUGAUGGCUCAUGUGUUUCUUGUGCAGUGUGGUGGGCUGGAUUAUUCAUGGUCUGGGCCGUAUGAUGCCGCAGCCGGCGUUGAAAGGAAGCGAUGAUUCCGGAGUGAGUAAAUCAAUGAUUAUUAAAUUAUUAUUAAUAAUAAUAAUAA